rnacentral:lncRNA from 1 species
AUGUGUAUAUAUAGAUUUAGAUAUCUAAUAAUUUUAUUUAAGCCCUCUUAAUUGGUUCUUCCCUUCUCUCUCUCCAUUUCUGCAGUACUACUGUAUUUAAGGGGUACUUCAUUGUUUCAUGCCGAACUCAGCCUAUCAAUAACCAAUGUUGUGGUUGGAUGACCCUUGCUAUCCUUAAUAGGAUCGCAAGACAUUCUUCAGCAAUAACCCUCAAAUUCUGGAAAGAAGGUUUAUUACUCACAUGUCUGGGAAAUUACACAGCACAUGUGGGGCCACAGGGAGAGGUGGAGGGUAGAGAGAAAAAGAAUGAUGGGGGCUUUGGGGUUGAUGGUGGGUGCCAAGGAUUUGGGGGCUCAUUCUAUCGAUGAAUUUAAAACAUAAGAGUGGGAAUUUAAAAAACAAGAAGAGUUAGAGGAGAGAGAGAGAGAGAGAGAAGAGUUUGAGAAAGAGGGAGAGAGAGAAGACCAAAUGAUCAGUUAUCAGGAUCAAUUAAGAUCUCGAAAACAAAGAGUCUCAGGGGACAGGGGAAGGCAGCCCGGACCUUUAUCUGGUCCUGUGGCUGGCAUUGUGCUUAUUCCAGCUAACCUUCCCCAAAGUGGAUGCCUCUUUGAAAUGGGAGCCUUAGCAAUCAAAGCGUAAGACAGGCACAUGCAUUACAAAGAAAAAAAGAAAGAAAAGACAAGAAAAACCAAGUGUAUCUGGGUUUCACUCAUUACUUUCUUCAUUAUAAUGUCUUAACAUCUCCUAGGAUAUGCCCGCUUUUCUUCUCUUUCUGCUGACGAUGUAUCUCGUUCAUCUUUCUCAAUACAUUCUUGCUUUUCUUAAUCCUUUACCAUUUGCAUUUUAUUAACCAAUUACUAAAUUCAGUUUGUCAUUAAAAUUAUAUAUAAUUUAUAGAUUAAUAUGAAAAUCUGAGUCUCUGAUUGACUAAGCUGGUGAAUAUAUUAUUUUUCUUGCAUGGUUUUAUAUUUUCAAUAACAUUGCUCUUUAGAUUGGGUAAACCUGAACAUUAUAUAUUGUUUUUUUCUUUUUCCCCUAAUGAUUUUAGAAGUGUUUUGGGUUGAUUUAUUUAUUUUCCCAUUUGAUAUUGUACCUGAUUUACUAUUUAUUCAUGUUUAUUUUAAAUAUAGGAAAUCUGUCCAUCUUCAGGCAUUUAUUUGUAUUCCAAAAAUUGGCAAAGUAUUACUUUGGUGUUUACGUAGAGUCUCCUAAAUUUCCAUUUAGACAAUAUCAUCAUCUAUUAAGAAGGAUAAUCAAGUGUUUUGUUUCUAAUUAUUAUUCUCAUUUUUUUUUCUUUUUGAAUCAAGAACAUUCUGUACAAUGUUGAUUAGUUGUAGUGACUGAAGGUAUCCUGGGACCAGAAGAAUUGCUUACAUGAACCUUUCAGAAAUUGCUCAUUCUUAGAAAUGUGACCUAAAUAAAUGUCUUUUAUUUUAAGACACUAAGUUUUGGAUUUGUUUUCUUUUUCCAGAAAUAAUUGUUUCUUUUGAAGCAAUAGGCUAAAUAUUUCUAACUUUUUAUAUUAAACUUUCUAUCUUAUUUUAAUUUUGGUAUAUCUCUUCUGAGUGGCAUAUAUAUAUUUAUAUAUAUUUAAAUAUAAUAUAGCUUUGAUUAAAAAUGAUAUUUAAUCUGAUUAUGGCUAGGAGGUGUUUGAACUAAUUUCUACUUCUUUCAUUUUCUAUGCUUUUACUUUGCAUUUUUCAUUCUCCUUCCUGGCUUUCUGUUCUAUUGAUAACGUAAGUUUUAUUAUUUAACUUUCUGAAAAUUGUUCCUUGCUUUGGAAAUUACAGAUUUUUAUUCUACUAACUUAGUAUUUAUACUUCAAAUUUUAACCUAUGGAAUGAAACAUGAAUUACAAGAUUCUUUCUAUCUAUUACAUUCUGCAGAGAUCCUAAAGGCAAACACUAAUACAAUAUUUGCCAAAAUGUAAGUAGCUAAAAGUAAGAAACUUAUUUGUAUACAUUGGAAAGUCUUUAAUAAUGGGUCCUCCUCGAGUCCUGAUAGCCUACCCUUUUUAACUAGUUCCAGAGAAGGUUGGUAAUAGCAAAUUAUUUUCCAUCAGCAUUUUGACAAGAUGGUUUUUAUCAACCUCUACCACCUGUUUUUUUAGGACAGUAAUUUAGUUUAAAUUUAAUUAUUGGGGUGCCUGGCUGGCACUUUCAGUUAGGCGACUGACUCUUCUAUCUGCUCAGGUCAUGACCUCCACAUGUAGAGCCUCCUGUCAGGCUAUACGCUCAGCGUGGAGUCUACUUAAGAUUUUCUCUCUCCCUCUCCCUCUGCCUCUCUCCUCUACUCUCCUUCUCUCUAAAAUAAAUAAAUUAAAUACUUAAAAACAAACCAUUAAAAAAAUCUAAUUAUCAGGGCAUCUGAGUGGCUCAAGUGGUUGAAUGUCUGCCUUCGGCUCAGGUUGUGGUCCUGGGGUCCUGGGAUCGAGUCCCACAUCAGUCUCCCUGCAGGGAGCCUGCUUCUCUUUCUGCCUAUGUCUCUGC